UAAUACGGGGGGGGCAAGCGUUGUUCGGAAUUACUGGGCGUAAAGGGCUCGUAGGCGGCCCACUAAGUCGGACGUGAAAUCCCUUGGCUUAACCAAGGAACUGCGUCCGAUACUGGUGGGCUUGAGUUCGGGAGAGGGACGUGGAAUUCCAGGUGUAGCGGUGAAACGCGUAGAUAUCUGGAGGAACACCGGUGGCGAAGGCGGCGUCCUGGACCGACACUGACGCUGAGGAGCGAAAGCCAGGGGAGCAAACGGGAUUAGAUACCCCGGUAGUCCUGGCCCUAAACGAUGAAUGCUUGGUGUGGCGGGUAUCGAUCCCUGCCGUGCCGGAGCUAACGCAUUAAGCAUUCCGCCUGGGGAGUACGGUCGCAAGGCUG
rnacentral:rRNA from 1 species